rnacentral:rRNA from 1 species
UACGUAGGGUGCAAGCGUUAAUCGGAAUUACUGGGCGUAAAGCGUGCGCAGGCGGCUUUGCAAGACAGAUGUGAAAUCCCCGGGCUUAACCUGGGAACUGCAUUUGUGACUGCAUGGCUAGAGUGCGGCAGAGGGGGAUGGAAUUCCGCGUGUAGCAGUGAAAUGCGUAGAUAUGCGGAGGAACACCGAUGGCGAAGGCAAUCCCCUGGGCCUGCACUGACGCUGAGGCGCGAAAGCUAGGGGAGCAAACAG